AUGAACGCUGGCGGCGUGUCUAAGGCAUGCAAGUCGAUCGAGUUUAGACUCGAGGCAAACGGGUGAGUAACACAUUGGUAAUCUACCUUCGACUCGGGCAUAACCCAGAGAAAUUUGGGAUAAUUCCCGAUAGUCAUGGGGGGUCAUUAAGACAUUCCCAUGUAAAGUUUUUCGGUCGAAGAGGAGCCUAUGGCCCAUCAGCUAGUUGGUAGGGUAAUGGCCUACCAAGGCAAUGACGGGUAGCGGGUGUGAGAGCAUGACCCGCCUCACUGGGACUGAGACACUGCCCAGACUCCUACGGGAGGCUGCAGUCAAGAAUAUUCCGCAAUGGCCGAAAGGCUGACGGAGCGACGCCGCGUGCAGGAUGACGCCCUUCGGGGUGUAAACUGCUUUUUUUUGGGACGAAUUCGUGACGGUACCAAAAGAAUAAGUCACUGCUAACCUCGU
rnacentral:rRNA from 1 species